GUUUGAUCCUGGCUCAGAAUGAACGCUGGCGGCGUGCUUAACACAUGCAAGUCGAACGAGAAAGCACUUUCGGGUGUGAGUACAGUGGAGAACGGGUGCGUAACACGUAAGAAUCUACCUUUUAGUCGAGAAUACUCUCGAGAAAUCGAGGUUAAUACUGGAUAAGAUCUUUUUAAGAGAUUGAAAAGAAGAAAGACGGCCUCUUGCUGUCGCUGAAAGAUGAGCUUGCGGACUAUUAGCUUGUUGGUAGGGUAAAAGCCUACCAAGGCAAUGAUGGUUAGCCGACCUGAGAGGGUGAUCGGCCACAUUGGGACUGAGAUACGGCCCAGACUCCUACGGGAGGCAGCAGUGGGAAAUAUUGCACAAUGGGGGAAACCCUGAUGCAGCGACGCCGCGUGAAGGAAGAAGGUCUUCGGAUCGUAAACUUCUGUACUAGAGGGAAGAAAAGCGAGUGCUUAAUAGGUGCUCGUCAUGACGGUACCUUUAGAGAAAGCUCCGGCUAACUUCGUGCCAGCAGCCGCGGUAAUACGAGGGGAGCGAGCGUUAUUCGGAAUUACUGGGCGUAAAGAGCGCGUAGGUGGCAAUUUAAGUCAGUUGUUAAAGACUACUGCCCAACAGUAGAAAAGCAAUUGAAACUGGAUAGCUAGAGGUUAAGAGAGAGGAGUGGAAUUCUCGGAGUAGCGGUAAAAUGCGUAGAUCUCGAGAGGAACACCGAUGGCGAAGGCAGCUCCUUGGCUUACACCUGACACUCAAGCGCGAAAGCGUGGGUAGCAAACAGGAUUAGAUACCCUGGUAGUCCACGCCGUAAACGAUGAUCACUAGAUGUUGGCUGCGUUAAGCGGUCAGUGUCGAAGCUAACGCGUUAAGUGAUCCGCCUGGAGUACGAUCGCAAGAUUAAAACUCAAAGGAAUUGACGGGGGUCCGCACAAGCGGUGGAACAUGUGGUUUAAUUCGACACUACGCGAGGAACCUUACCUAGGUUUGACAUGUAACUGCUCGCCGUAGAGAUACGGUUUUCUAAGUUUACUUAGACGGUUACACAGGUGCUGCAUGGCUGUCGUCAGCUCGUGUCGUGAGAUGUUAGGUUAAGUCCUUUAACGAGCGCAACCCUUGCCGUUAUUUGCUAGGUCUUCGGACAAGCACUAUAGCGGGACUGCCUGGGGAACCAGGAGGAAGGUGGGGAUGACGUCAAGUCCUCAUGGCCCUUAUACCUAGGGCUACACACGUGUUACAAUGGCGAGGACAGAGGGGAGCGAAACUGCGAAGUGGAGCAAAUCCCAGAAAGCUCGUCUAAGUUCGGAUUGAAGUCUGAAAUUCGACUUCAUGAAGUUGAAAUCGCUAGUAAUCGCGUAUCAGAACGACGCGGUGAAUACGUUCUCGGACCUUGUACACACCGCCCGUCACACCACGAAAAUUGUCUACACCCGAAAUGAUCUUAGCUAACCGGAAACGGAGGCGGAUCCUGAAGGUGAAGAUGGUGAUUGGGGUGAAGUCGUAACAAGGUA
rnacentral:rRNA from 1 species